CGCGCGAUCGGAUCGAGUUACCGAAAUGAUGUCGGAGAUUUUAGCGAGGGAGGAUUCUAGAGAGAGGAGGAAGAUCUGGUUAGGGUUGGCGUCGGGCGAGGGAUUGGUUUCGGAGGAUACGGAAUCGAUACAAGCGGAUCGGAAUUUGAUCGGGGAGCAAAAUUCAAUAAUCGCUCGAUUUGAUUUGAGUGAUUCGGAGUUGAGUUUUUCAACGAAGGAGGUGAUUGUUCGGCCGGUGAUUAAAGCGAGUAGGAUGAUUAGGGAGAAGAAAAUUGCGAUCAGGAUUUUGUUGCGCCUGCGAAUUGAUGCGAGCUUGUCUU
rnacentral:lncRNA from 1 species